UGGGUGACCUGCCCUCAGCUCUGGGAUAAGCCCGGGAAACUGGGUCUAAUACCGGAUAUGACUCCUCAUCGCAUGGGUGGGGGGUGGAAAGCUUUAUUGUGGUUUUGGAUGGACUCGCGGCCUAUCAGCUUGUUGGUGAGGUAAAGGCUCACCAAGGCUUCGACGGGUAGCCGGCCUGAGAGGGUGACCGGCCACACUGGGACUGAGACACGGCCCAGACUCCUACGGGAGGCAG
rnacentral:rRNA from 1 species